AACGAACGCUGGCGGCAUGCCUAACACAUGCAAGUCGAACGAGACCUUCGGGUCUAUUGGCGCACGGGUUCGUAACGCGUGGGAACCUUCCCUUAUGUUCGGAAUAACUCAGAGAAAUUUGAGCUAAUACCGGAUGAUGUCUUCUGACCAAAGAUUUAUCGCCUUUAGAUGGGCCCGCGUUGGAUUAGCUAGUUGGUGGGGUAAAGGCCUACCAAGGCGACGAUCCAUAGCUGGUCUGAGAGGAUGAUCAGCCACACUGGGACUGAGACACGGCCCAGACUCCUACGGGAGGCAGGAGUGGGGAAUAUUGGACAAUGGGCGAAAGCAUGAUCCAGCAAUGACGCGUGAGUGAUGAAGGCAUUAGGGUUGUAAAGCUCUUUUAACCGAGAUGAUAAUGACAGUAUCGGGAGAAUAAGCUCCGGCUAACUCCGUG
rnacentral:rRNA from 1 species